AUGACUUGCUGCUGCUGUUUUCUCAACACUAGUGCUAAGCGUAUGCCAUUUAUGUUGCUCAUUGUUCAUGUACUCCUGUAUUUAAUUGUCCUUUUUAUCACUUCGUUGUUAUCCCAUUUUCGUAUGUCAAAAACAGUGACCAAAGUAUUGACGUGCAGUUUGCUACUAUUCGGUUUUGGCUGGUACAAGAGACAAGGGAUGAUAUUAUCAAAGAGGUAUGCCAUUCCAUUCAUAUUUUAUUCAAUUAAUUGGAACUUGAGUGAUGUACUGUGCUAUUACAUUUAUAACAAGCUGCAUACUAGAACCUGCAAGAUGAAUGGGCAACGGAACCGGCAACAUCAGGGUACGGAUGCACCACUGAAUUGUUGA
rnacentral:rRNA from 1 species